rnacentral:rRNA from 1 species
GGACAAGUGAAUAAGUGCACAUGGCGGAUGCCUUGGCGAUUACAGGCGAUGAAGGACGUAGUAGCUUGCGAUAAGCUGCGGGGAGCUAGCAAACAAGCUUUGAUCCGCAGAUUUCCGAAUGGGGAAACCCGGCCCUUUGGGUCAUCACCCACUGAAUACAUAGGUGUGUGAAGCGAACGCGGCGAACUGAAACAUCUAAGUAGCUGCAGGAAAAGAAAUCAACCGAGAUUCCCAAAGUAGUGGCGAGCGAAAUGGGAAGAGCCUGUACGUGAUAGUCAGUCUGAUAGAAGAACGAAUUGGAAACUUCGGCCAUAGCGGGUGAUAGCCCCGUAUUCGAAAUCAGGUUGGUGGUACUAAGCGUACGACAAGUAGGGCGGGACACGAGAAAUCCUGUCUGAAUAUGGGGGGACCAUCCUCCAAGGCUAAAUACUCGUAAUCGACCGAUAGUGAACCAGUACCGUGAGGGAAAGGCGAAAAGAACCCCGGGAGGGGAGUGAAAUAGAUCCUGAAACCGUGUGCAUACAAACAGUAGGAGCCUCCUUGUGGGGUGACUGCGUACCUUUUGUAUAAUGGGUCAGCGACUUACAUUCAGUGGCAAGGUUAACCGAAUAGGGAAGCCGUAGAGAAAUCGAGUCCGAACAGGGCGACAGUCGCUGGGUGUAGACCCGAAACCAAGUGAUCUACUCAUGGCCAGGAUGAAGGUGCGGUAACACGCACUGGAGGUCCGAACCCACUAAUGUUGA